rnacentral:rRNA from 1 species
UACGUAGGGCGCAAGCGUUAUCCGGAAUUAUUGGGCGUAAAGAGCCCGUAGGCGGUUUGUCGCGUCUGCCGUGAAAGUCCGGGGCUCAACUCCGGAUCUGCGGUGGGUACGGGCAGACUAGAGUGAUGUAGGGGAGACUGGAAUUCCUGGUGUAGCGGUGAAAUGCGCAGAUAUCAGGAGGAACACCGAUGGCGAAGGCAGGUCUCUGGGCCACUACUGACGCUGAGAAGCGAAAGCGUGGGGAGCGAACAGG